rnacentral:rRNA from 1 species
GGAAUUAUUGGGCGUAAAGCGUCCGUAGGCGGUUUAUCAAGUCUGCCGUUAAAGACUGCAGCUUAACUGUGGGUAGGCGGUGGAAACUGAUGAACUAGAGUACGGUAGGGGUAGAGGGAAUUCCCAGUGUAGCGGUGAAAUGCGUAGAUAUUGGGAAGAACACCAGUGGCGAAGGCGCUCUACUGGGCCGUAACUGACGCUGAGGGACGAAAGCUAGGGGAGCGAAAGGGAUUAGAUACCCCUGUAGUCA